UGGCGGACGGGUGAGUAAUGUCUGGGAAACUGCCCGAUGGAGGGGGAUAACUACUGGAAACGGUAGCUAAUACCGCAUAACGUCGCAAGACCAAAGAGGGGGACCUUAGGGCCUCUUGCCAUCGGAUGUGCCCAGAUGGGAUUAGCUAGUAGGUGGGGUAACGGCUCACCUAGGCGACGAUCCCUAGCUGGUCUGAGAGGAUGACCAACCACACUGGAACUGAGACACGGUCCAG
rnacentral:rRNA from 1 species